AGGUUAGUCUCUGUGUAGUAAAUAAUAAGGUGUAGGUUAGUCUCGGUGUAGUAAAUAAUAAGGUGUAGGUUAGUCUCGGUGUAGUAAAUAAUAAGGUGUAGGUUAGACUCGGUGUAGUAAAUAAUAAGGUGUAGGUUAGACUCGGUGUAGGUUAGACUCGGUGUAGUAAAUAAUAAGGUGUAGGUUAGACUCGGUGUAGUAAAUAAUAAGGUGUAGGUUAGACUCGGUGUAGUAAAUAAUAAGGUGUAGGUUAGACUCGGUGUAGUAAAUAAUAAGGUGUAGGUUAGACUCGGUGUAGUAAAUAAUAAGGUGUAGGUUAGACUCGGUGUAGUAAAUAAUAAGGUGUAGGUUAGACUCGGUGUAGUAAAUAAUAAGGUGUAGGUUAGACUCGGUGUAGUAAA